ACGCGAUUAAGGGGCUUGCUCCUUAUGAAAGUGGCGCACGGGUGCGUAACGCGUAUGCAACCUACCUUUAUCAGGGGGAUAGCCCGGAGAAAUCCGGAUUAACACCGCAUAAAAUCACAGGAUAGCAUUAUCCAAUGAUCAAAUAUUUAUAGGAUAAAGAUGGGCAUGCGUGUCAUUAGCUAGUUGGCGGGGUAACGGCCCACCAAGGCGACGAUGACUAGGGGAUCUGAGAGGAUGGCCCCCCACACUGGUACUGAGACACGGACCAGACUCCUACGGGAGGCAGCAGUAAGGAAUAUUGGUCAAUGGAGGGAACUCUGAACCAGCCAUGCCGCGUGCAGGAAGACUGCCCUAUGGGUUGUAAACUGCUUUUAUCCGGGAAUAAACCUACUUACGUGUAAGUAGCUGAAUGUACCGGAAGAAUAAGGAUCGGCUAACUCCGUGCCAGCAGCCGCGGUAAUACGGAGGAUCCAAGCGUUAUCCGGAUUUAUUGGGUUUAAAGGGUGCGUAGGCGGCCUGUUAAGUCAGGGGUGAAAGACGGUAGCUCAACUAUCGCAGUGCCCUUGAUACUGAUGGGCUUGAAUGGACUAGAGGUAGGCGGAAUGAGACAAGUAGCGGUGAAAUGCAUAGAUAUGUCUCAGAACACCGAUUGCGAAGGCAGCUUACUAUGGUCUUAUUGACGCUGAGGCACGAAAGCGUGGGGAUCAAACAGGAUUAGAUACCCUGGUAGUCCACGCCCUAAACGAUGAACACUCGCUGUUGGCGAUACACAGUCAGCGGCUAAGCGAAAGCGUUAAGUGUUCCACCUGGGGAGUACGCCCGCAAGGGUGAAACUCAAAGGAAUUGACGGGGGCCCGCACAAGCGGAGGAGCAUGUGGUUUAAUUCGAUGAUACGCGAGGAACCUUACCCGGGCUUGAAAGUUAGUGAAUGAUUUAGAGAUAGAUCAGUGAGCAAUCACACGAAACUAGGUGCUGCAUGGCUGUCGUCAGCUCGUGCCGUGAGGUGUUGGGUUAAGUCCCGCAACGAGCGCAACCCCUAUGUUUAGUUGCCAGCAUGUAAUGAUGGGGACUCUAAACAGACUGCCUGUGCAAACAGAGAGGAAGGAGGGGACGACGUCAAGUCAUCAUGGCCCUUACGUCCGGGGCUACACACGUGCUACAAUGGAUGGUACAGAGGGCAGCUACAUAGCAAUAUGAUGCGAAUCUCACAAAGCCAUUCACAGUUCGGAUUGGGGUCUGCAACUCGACCCCAUGAAGUUGGAUUCGCUAGUAAUCGCGUAUCAGCAAUGACGCGGUGAAUACGUUCCCGGGCCUUGUACACACCGCCCGUCAAGCCAUGGAAGUUGGGGGUACCUAAAGUAUGUAACCGCAAGGAGCGUCCUAG
rnacentral:rRNA from 1 species